rfam:Mycobacterium sherrisii strain BC1_M4 PROKKA_contig000035, whole genome shotgun sequence.
CGGACAUCAGCUGUGGGCAGAUCAGGUGGACGUGACAGUCCACGGCGCCCGCGGUCACGAUUCGCCCGUUGCCGGCGAUGAUCUCGGUGGACGGCCCCACCACCAGCCCCGGAUGCACGCCGGUCAUGAUGUCGGGAUUGCCGGCCUUCCCGAUGGCGACGAUGCGGCCAUCGCGAAUACCGAUGUCGCCCUUAAUGAUUCCCCAAUGGUCGAUUAUCACCGCCCCGGUGAUCACGGUGUCGGGCGCGCCGUCGGCCCGAGUGGCGCGGCCUUGGCCCAUCGACUCGCGCAG